rnacentral:lncRNA from 1 species
AAAAGUGUUCUCCCGCAUUCUAUAAGGGCCUCAUCCCCCUCAUGAGCUAAUCAUCAAGCUCAUCAAGUUUGAUGUUUCUUUCUCCAUGUAAGUCAUCUCUCUCUAUGUACGUCUUCCCUCUCUCUUCUCAAUCAUUUUUCUUUCCCUCCUCAUGUAUUAAUGAUAAUCUUAUGAUAUUCUCAUAAUAACAAUACUAUUAUUACUGUUUUGUCUCUCUCUAUUUCAUUUUCAUUCUCUUUUCAAUGACAUUAAAAUCAUUACCUCAUAAUUCUCAUUAUUUAUUAGUUUCUUUUAUUCUUUCAGUCUCUUCUCCUCUCAUAUUCUUAAACGAAUUUCAAAAUCUCUCUCUCUUCCUCUUAUUCUUUUUAUUAUUAUUACUCUCUCAUAAUCAUUAUUUUCUCUUCCCCUCUCAUGAUAUUAAUAAAGAUGGUAUCAUUACUCUCUUUAAUUAUGUUAUCAUCACCUCAUAAUACUAUAUUAUCUAUUCUCUCUCUCUCCCUCUUAUUCUUUUUAUUAUUGCUCUUUCAUAAUCAUUAUUUUCUCUUCCCCUCUCAUGAUAUUAAUAAUGAUGGUAUCAUUACUCUCUCUAAUUAUGUUAUCAUCACCUCAUAAUACUAUAUUAUCUAUUCUCUCACUCCCUCUUAUUCUUUUAUUAUUAUUACUCUCUCAUAAUCAUUAUUUCUCUUCCCUCUCAUGAUAUUAAUAAUGAUGAUAUCAUUACUCUCUCUAAUUAUGUUAUCAUCACCUCAUAAUACUAUACUAUCUAUUCUCUCUCUCUCCCUCUUAUUCUUUUAUUAUUGUCUUCUUUCUAUAACUUCAUUUAUUUUCUCUUCCCNNNNNNNNNNNNNNNNNNNNUUAAUAAUGAUGAUAUCAUUACUCUCUCUAAUUAUGUUAUCAUCACCUCAUAUACUAUAUUAUCUCUCUCUAUCCCUCUCAUAUAAAUAAUAUAGUUAAACGGAUUUUAUUUUUCUCUCUUCCCCUCUCAUAAUAUUAAUUAUAGGAUCAUUAGUCUCUUUAAUAAUAUUCAUAUUAUCAAUCAUUACUUUAUAAUAUUUUAUUUAUUUGUUUCUCAUUCUCUCUCUAUCUUCUCCUCUCAUAUAAAACAAAUUUUUAUACUCACCCCUCUCUCUCUUCCAUUCUCAUAUUAAUAUAAUAAUAUCCUUAUUCAACUAAAUUAUAAUAAUUUUAUUAAAGAUAAUAUAAAAUUGUGAUGAUGUAGAGACUAUGUCUUAUAAAUUAGAGUAUGAAUAAAAUGAAAGAUAAUAUCACAAUUUUAUACAAUAAUAAUAAUAAUAAUUUAAAACCAUACCUUGUCCUUAUAUUUUUGAUAUAUUCAUAACUACAAUAUUCCCACAAAAAUGACAUUAUUCCAUAAAAAUAGUAUUAAUAGAAUUUUGAUUCUAUUACCUUUAUGAACAUAUUUUAUAUAUAUACUCCUUCUUUCUAUAUAAACUCAUUAAUCUAUUUUUCCAUACCUGUAGCCGAAAGCCAGUAAUUUAAAUUUUGCUCUAGCAAUAGUAGCACAUCUCGUGACAUAUAAAGGUAAGUGACAUCAUCCUCCUCAAAAAUAAUCUGUUUUUAAAUAGUGAUAUUUCAGUCCAUCAUCUUUAUUUUAUAAAUUUUAUGCGUAAGUGACCUCAAUGCCUUGAAAAAUAAUCUUUUUAGUAAAAUUGUGAAAUUUCCUUCUAUUGUUUAUGAAUAUUUAGACAUUUUAAAAUUAGUGUCCAAAUGACAUCCUCAUUAUUCGAAAAACUAAUAUUUCUGCACUUGAUUGUAGCAUUGCUUGUGAAAUGAUUAUUUGCAAAUUGGCAUUUUUAUAAAUUGUGAUAAUUCCGUAUUUAAUUUUGGAUUCCCAUAAGGGUUCUUCUAUUGAUACUAAAAUGUUGUCAGGUUAAAUUUCAAGAAUGUCCUUUAUAAUGGCUACCUUUCAUAAAUUAUUGCCAAAAUAUUUGAUUGGUUACUUACAGAUAUUUCAAUGAAAAUGAUUGUUUAACUUACUUCAAGCGAAUUCCUAUUAAUGAUUUCAAUGAUACUUUGCAUAUAUAAUGUUCAUGUUUUCUGAGGUUAAAAGAAAUUCAGAGAUAAUUUAAGUAUAUUUGGACCCAUCCAGGACACUGGUGGGGUAUUUGGACUCAACCGGUACACCGGUGAGGUAUGAUUGGACCUGCAGGUAUUAUUUUGGGCCCAUCCAAGAUGCUGGUGGGAUAUUUGGACUCAUCCGGGAUGCCGGUGAGGUAUGAUCGGACUCAC